UGCUUCCAGGAAAAGCCUCUAAGCAUCAGGUAACAUCAAAUCGUACCCCAAACCGACACAGGUGGUCAGGUAGAGAAUACCAAGGCGCUUGAGAGAACUCGGGUGAAGGAACUAGGCAAAAUGGUGCCGUAACUUCGGGAGAAGGCACGCUGAUAUGUAGGUGAAGUCCCUCGCGGAUGGAGCUGAAAUCAGUCGAAGAUACCAGCUGGCUGCAACUGUUUAUUAAAAACACAGCACUGUGCAAACACGAAAGUGGACGUAUACGGUGUGACGCCUGCCCGGUGCCGGAAGGUUAAUUGAUGGGGUUAGCGCAAGCGAAGCUCUUGAUCGAAGCCCCGGUAAACGGCGGCCGUAACUAUAACGGUCCUAAGGUAGCGAAAUUCCUUGUCGGGUAAGUUCCGACCUGCACGAAUGGCGUAAUGAUGGCCAGGCUGUCUCCACCCGAGACUCAGUGAAAUUGAACUCGCUGUGAAGAUGCAGUGUACCCGCGGCAAGACGGAAAGACCCCGUGAACCUUUACUAUAGCUUGACACUGAACAUUGAGCCUUGAUGUGUAGGAUAGGUGGGAGGCUUUGAAGUGUGGACGCCAGUCUGCAUGGAGCCGACCUUGAAAUACCACCCUUUAAUGUUUGAUGUUCUAACGUUGACCCGUAAUCCGGGUUGCGGACAGUGUCUGGUGGGUAGUUUGACUGGGGCGGUCUCCUCCUAAAGAGUAACGGAGGAGCACGAAGGUUGGCUAAUCCUGGUCGGACAUCAGGAGGUUAGUGCAAUGGCAUAAGCCAGCUUGACUGCGAGCGUGACGGCGCGAGCAGGUGCGAAAGCAGGUCAUAGUGAUCCGGUGGUUCUGAAUGGAAGGGCCAUCGCUCAACGGAUAAAAGGUACUCCGGGGAUAACAGGCUGAUACCGCCCAAGAGUUCAUAUCGACGGCGGUGUUUGGCACCUCGAUGUCGGCUCAUCACAUCCUGGGGCUGAAGUAGGUCCCAAGGGUAUGGCUGUUCGCCAUUUAAAGUGGUACGCGAGCUGGGUUUAGAACGUCGUGAGACAGUUCGGUCCCUAUCUGCCGUGGGCGCUGGAGAACUGAGGGGGGCUGCUCCUAGUACGAGAGGACCGGAGUGGACGCAUCACUGGUGUUCGGGUUGUCAUGCCAAUGGCACUGCCCGGUAGCUAAAUGCGGAAGAGAUAAGUGCUGAAAGCAUCUAAGCACGAAACUUGCCCCGAGAUGAGUUCUCCCUGACUCCUUGAGAGUCCUGAAGGAACGUUGAAGACGACGACGUUGAUAGGCCGGGUGUGUAAGCGCAGCGAUGCGUUGAGCUAACCGGUACUAAUGAACCGUGAGGCUUAACCUUACAACGCCGAAGCUGUU
rnacentral:rRNA from 1 species